GAGGCAAGGGAUUAGUCCGACCUUUGGUGGUCUUUAAUCCUCUUGCCUCGUCCUUGAGUGGUGCUUCUUGGUAUUAAGUUAUCGAGGAGAUAGCCGCUCAUCGUUUACUGUGAGAAAAUUAGAGUGUUCAAAGCAGGCUUAUGCCGUUGAAUAUAUUAGCAUGGAAUAAUAAGAUAGGACCUCGGUACUAUUUUGUUGGUUUGAGAACCAAGGUAAUGAUGAAUAGGGACAGUUGGGGGUAUUCGUAUUCAGUUGUCAGAGGUGAAAUUCUUAGAUUUACGGAAGACGAACUACUGCGAAAGCAUUUACCAAGGAUGUUUUCAUUAAUCAAGAACGAAAGUAUGGGGAUCGAAGAUGAUUAGAUACCAUCGUAGUCUAUACCAUAAACUAUGCCGACUCAGGAUUGUCAGGUGUCUUUUGACCUUGGCAGCACUGUGUGAGAAAUCAAAGUCUUUGG
rnacentral:rRNA from 1 species